UCCGCUGGCAGCGCAGCUCGUAUUUCCGUUUUAUUAUUUCAGUUCUUGGCUUGUGGCCUGCUGGCGCUUGUCUCAGUCACCUGCCAAGUGUUGAGCGCGUCGCAACGCAGCGGCUACUACUUUGCUACGGUUUCUAACGGUGUGUUAACCUCUCGUGUCAUUUAUCAGUGUCUACGUCUAUGUGUGCUUGUGUGUGUGUGUUGCCAUAAGCAACAACAGCAACAACAACAGCAACAACAACAACAACAAGAAAACACCUGCAGGGUUAGCGAGCAAAAUCAACAGCGACAAACGCGGCAACGGAAAACGUGAAAAUUACAAAGCCAAAAAACCAAACGACGC